AAAGCAGAAGGCCUUCAUCCACCAACACCAAAGAAGCCUCCGUGUUUUCCGAAACCUAUUACAUCUUGAAACAGAAGACCAGGCAUGCUGUGGGGGCAACCAGAAAUUUCUCUUCAAAUAGCCUCAUGGAUCUCAUUCAGAUAAUGUGGAAAAUAAGAGAUGCUGAUUCAAGCCUGCAGAAUCUCACAUAGGACUGUACCACCUCAAAAGGCAUACAGGGUACCUCUUUGAUUAAAAUUGCCCACAUGUU